CCGGAGGGAUGCUGGCCAACAACCCCCAACUUUUUUAAGGUUGACCUCGGAUCAGGUAGGGAUACCCGCUGAACUUAAGCAUAUCAAUAAGCGGAGGAAAAGAAACCAACAGGGAUUACCUCAGUAACGGCGAGUGAAGCGGUAACAGCUCAAAUUUGAAAUCUGGCUCUUUCAGGGUCCGAGUUGUAAUUUGUAGAAGAUGCUUCGGGUGUGGCUCCGGUCUAAGUUCCUUGGAACAGGACGUCAUAGAGGGUGAGAAUCCCGUAUGUGACUGGCUGCCUUCGCCCAUGUGAAGCUCUUUUGACGAGUCGAGUUGUUUGGGAAUGCAGCUCUAAAUGGGUGGUAUAUUUCAUCUAAAGCUAAAUAUUGGCCAGAGACCGAUAGCGCACAAGUAGAGUGAUCGAAAGAUGAAAAGCACUUUGGAAAGAGAGUUAAACAGUACGUGAAAUUGUUGAAAGGGAAGCGCUUGCAACCAGACUUGCACGCCGUCGAUCAUCCUGGGUUCUCCCUGGUGCACUCGGCGGCGUUCAGGCCAGCAUCGGUUUUGGUGGUUGGAUAAAGGCCUUGGGAAUGUGGCUCCUCUCGGGGAGUGUUAUAGCCCUCGGUGCAAUGCAGCCUACCGGGACCGAGGACCGCGCUCGGCUA
rnacentral:rRNA from 1 species